GGCGAGUUAGCUCAGUUGGUAGAGCAGCAGACUCUAAAUCAGAAGGUCACGGGUUCGAUUCCCGUACUCGCCG
rnacentral:tRNA from 1 species